rnacentral:RNase_P_RNA from 16 species
GAGGGCUUGCGGGCGGUCGCGGUGUCUAUUGGUACCGAGGAACGUCCGGGCUCCGUAGAGCAAGGCGGUGGGUAACGCCCACCCGGGGUGACCCGAGAGCUGAGUGCCACAGAAAAUAACCGCCGUUACGGUAAGGGUGAAAAGGUGGUGUAAGAGACCACCAGGGAUUGGGGUGACCCAAUCUGCUGGGUAAACCUCGCCUGGAGCAAGAUCAAGCAGGGAACUUAGGCUGCUCGUUUAGUUCCCGGGUAGAUCGCUAGAGCCUGUUGGCAACAACAGGUCAAGAUGGAUGGCCGCCUCGUUGGUUUUUAAUCCAACGAACAGAACCCGGCGUAUAGCAAGCCCUCGUUC